rnacentral:rRNA from 1 species
AUUGAACGCUGGCGGCAUGCCUUACACAUGCAAGUCGAACGGCAGCACGUCCCCUCGGGGAUGGUGGCGAGUGGCGAACGGGUGAGUAAUACAUCGGAACGUACCCAGGAGUGGGGGAUAACGUAGCGAAAGUUACGCUAAUACCGCAUAUUCUGUGAGCAGGAAAGCGGGGGAUGGCAAGACCGCGCGUCCUUGGCGCGGCCGAGUGCGGAUUAGCUAGUUGGUGAGGUAAGAGCUCACCAAGGCGACGAUCCGUAGCAGGUCUGAGAGGAUGAUCUGCCACACUGGGACUGAGACACGGCCCAGACUCCUACGGGAGGCAGCAGUGGGGAAUUUUGGACAAUGGGGGCAACCCUGAUCCAGCCAUGCCGCGUGAGUGAAGAAGGCCUUCGGGUUGUAAAGCUCUUUCGGCGGGGAAGAAGUGGCAACGGCUAAUAUCCGUUGUUGAUGACGGUACCCGCAUAAGAAGCACCGGCUAACUACGUGCCAGCAGCAGCCGCAGUAA